UAUUGAGGUGACAUUACCGCAGCGAGGGCGGUGACAAAACAGUCGCGGCACUUGGGCCCGUAGGAGUCGCCGCGGCACUGGAGGAUAGCGGUAAAAGUAGAAUCGCCAAAAAGGUCGUAACCUCUGAUACUGUUUUUAUAGAACAUUUUCAUGAUGUUUUUAAAAAGUUUAUCGUACUCACUUCCCAACUUGUAUUUUCCUUGACUAACCAAGCAUGUGUGGUUGAGAUACUCAUUGGUCACGUUUAAGGACAAUUUGCUGUUUAUAAGGAGUAGUUGUAUGGCCGAGACAUAGAUCAAAAUGAUGCGUGAUACAGAGGAUGAAGAGUACAUUAUUUUGAAUUAUUUUUGUCAAAAAAAUUUCUAUAGAUGGUUCGUUGAGAUUGAUGUUUAUGGACGAGUCUCAUAGGGAUUUGGUUACUGAGAUAUAUAUGAUUUUUAUAUAUCUAUGGUUUUUUUUGGUUACCCAAUACGAAAUUUGUUUUCAAAGGUCAGUUUGUAGAAAAGGAUGUUUACACUUUGUAAGGACAGGAGAGAAGAGUUGAAGGUUGAGACUUAUUUGGCGACAAGAGGGCCGACAAAAAUGUAAAAGCUGAGAGGUGUGAAUCAGUUCACACGAUUCGUAAGGUGCAAACAGCAAACCAGAAAUGAAGGAAUUCAUUGUUAAUUAUUUUUCUUUUUUUUUCUUCCUUUUUUAAAUAAAAAUCUAUAAUAUUAAAAGGUCUUAUUUGCCAAAUAACCAAAAAAAAAUGAAGUUCCAUUUUUUGGAGAGAUAGUAGAGAGAGAGAUAAGAAGAGAAAGUACGAGAGAUGAGGUGUUUUUAGUUAAUUAGUUAGUGUACUUUGGAUUUUUUUUGUGUACAUAGCGGCAAAUUUCCCAUAUUAAAACAACAAUUUUUUUUUUAUGAAUCAACAUCCCAUUCAUUUUAUUUAUUAAAACAACAUUCCAUUAUGAAUUAACAUUUAUAAAGCAUCUGAUUGCAAUGUUAAAAGAGUCUCAUGAGUGGCCAAGUUUUGCAACUGAAUUGGAGGUCAUAAAAACCCUUCAAAUAUGCUUUCCAGAUUUCAAGAUCACUCACAUUCCAAAAACGCAAAAUGGAAUUUUGGUUUCUUUAUCUAGGACUACGAGAUCUUUCUAUAGAGAGCGUUGUUACUUUGGUUGUUUGAUUCCGGUUUGAUUACCCAAACCACCUUAAGUUUGAGUAAUAGAAUAGUCGUUCGAUGUAAAAAAAACAUUUUUUUUAUUAAAACAACAUCCCAUUAAUUUUCCUUUUAUAUUACAAGUGUGCUUAUGAAUCCUAAAAUGUGCACAGAAAUAGAUUUAAGAUUAUGGAAACUUUGUGGACAAGUUAGCUAUAAAAAUAAAUAUUAGGCCAUGAUCAAUUUUAGAAAAUGAAUGUUUUUUUUUAACACUGAAAUACUUCAUUAACUGAUAGGACCAAACGGACCAAGCAACAACGUUUGGGAAACAUCCGAAACAAAAGAAAGCGAUAAAAAAUACUUGCUGGAAACAAAUACAGAUAUACCAGUAGGUACCACAGCAAAUUGGAUAAAAAUAAAGGAAUAAAGAUGUACUUCGGUUCCUUCCUGCCACAAAGAUGGAUCUGGCCUAAACUCCCCUCUCAUGUUGAAUCAUCUGAUCAAGCCAAAGGGGACCCCAGGCGCAACAUAAGAUUGUGUACGAGCACCUGAGACCACACUCUCUGCUAUAGUUGUGGCAACUCUGUUCUUGUGGUCAGAGACAUGGAAGAUCGACCACUCUUUAAACUGGUGAAGAAGCGUUAAAUUUUUGUGACAAUGGCGAUAGUGUCCAGAAGCUAUUCGGAUCCAAUAGUGUUUGUCUCACCUCUACCGACGAUGCUUCAAAGAUAGCUUUCUUUUGCCUCAAGCUAUCCAUUGCCUCCACCGCCCAUAAGAAUGCUUUUAAGUCAGAUUCACGUUUGCAAGGAGAAGAGCAAAAAGCACGAAGACUAUGAUGAAUAGGCCGACCAACGCUAUCUCUUGUAACCCAACUAGCUCCAUUAUGAGGACCUGCACUGGCCCAGGCCAUACCAACAUUACAUUUUAUGAAACCUGGUGGGGGCUUCACCCAUGAAUUUUGAGGGAUGUGAGCAGUAUCUCUGCUUCCUCCAGAGCUUUGGAGACACACGAGGAAGCUGACAGACGACUCUUCUCAAAAACUAGGGCAUUUCUACCUUUCCACAAAUUCCAAAGAAUCUAGGGGAAAGAUUUAAUGUUACCUUGGGCCAAACUCUGUUUUUUGGUUCCAGCCACCAGGAAAUGUAGGUUCAAGAAAGUUGACGUAGGCGAGAAACCAUCAGUAGGGGGUUCAAUCCCUGCCAAUCUCCAUGCCUCCAAUGCUGUAGGACAAGAGAAUAGUACAUGGCAAAUAGUUUCAGGCUCUUGACCACACGCCAGGCAUGUUAUAUCAUUGUGUAAGCCUCGGGACCGCAGACGUUCUGCCACAGCCAGAGCGCCAGACAAGGCUCUCCACAGAAAGUGUUGGAUCUUGGGCGAAGUCUUGAGUCUCCAAAUAUUCUUCCACAGUUGCUUUUCAACUGGGGGAGCUGGUGGUGGGUGGGGGAGCUGGCGUUAUGGAUGACAAACAACAUUUUAUAGGCACUUUGAGUAGUGUAGAUACCAUCUUUUGUAAACCCCACACAUCAGUGUCUUCGUUCAGUAUCACCGGUUUGAUUUUUGGUAUCCUUUCAGCAUCCUCAUCUGUGAAGGUGUCAUGAACUUUCUGAGGACCCCACCAUGAAGAGUUAGUAAACCGCAGAUCACUGACCUUCAGUGUGAGAUCAACGAUACUGUUCUGGCGGUACAUAGGAGGUCUAGAUUCAUUAUCCAGAAGCCAGUUAGCUGUCCACACGUUGGUCUGUUCCCCGGAGCCAAUAACUCUAAGAAGACCAGAUUUCAAAGCCUCUCUGCCAUGGAGUAUACUCCUCCAGAUAUAGGAAGGCCGACAGCCAAUGCUUGCUUCCAGAAAAGAAUUCUUUUUGAAAUAUCUACUCUUCAGAACUCUUGCCAUUAGAGAGUUAGGUUUAGAGAAGAUUCUUCAUGCUUGUUUGUAAAGUAGCGCUUGAUUAAAGCGGCCUAUAUCAUGGUAGCCAAGACCACCCUCUUCUUUGCUCUUACACAUUGUCUCCAAAGAGACCCAAGGUAGCUUCCGUCUUGAACCUCCAUUACUCCACCAGAAGUCCCUCAUAGCCGAUGUGAGUUUAGCGCAAAGGUCUUUAGGGAGUUUAAAGACAAACAUUGUGUACACUGGUAAGGCUAACCCAAUAGAUUUUAAGAGUAUUUUCUUUCCACCUUGAGAGAGAGUUCGAGCAAACCAACCAUGCAAUCUAUGCUGGAGCUUUUCUCGAAUAUAGUUCAGGAUAUUCUUUUUGGAACCUUUGAAGACUUCAGGAAGCUCAAGGUAAGUACCUUCUCCACCCUCUAUCUCGAUUUGAAGGAUCUGCUUAAUGUCUGCUUUUAACCCUUCUUCCACAAAAUCCCCAAAAAUGAUAGAGGAUUUAGACGGGUUGAUUUGUUGACCAGAAGCAUCCCCGUAGAGUUUCAGACAACGUUGAAUCUUGAGACUAUCCAUCAUGUUUGCUCUGCACAUCAAUAAAUUGUCAUCUGCAAACAGUAAGUGAUGAACAGUCGGACCUUGUUUAUCCAACUUGAUCCCUUGGAGACGUCCCUUAGCUUCAGCAUUGUUGAGUACACUGACCAAAGCUUCAGAAACCAUGAUAAACAGAAAUGGUGACAUGGGAUCACCCUGUCUAAUUCCACGCUCAGGUUUAAUGAACCCGUGGGUUCUUCCAUUCAAUAGGACUGUAUACGACAUUGUAUUCACACAUGCCAUCACCCAACAGACCCACUGACGAGCAAACCCCAUUUUUUCCAGCAAAGAUUCAAGGAAAUUCCACUCCACCCGAUCAUAUGCUUUGGACAUAUCGGUUUUUAUAGCCAUGAACUCUUUACUUAUCAACUUCUUGGUCCUCAAGCCAUGAACCAUUUCAUGUGCAACAAUAAUAUUGUCAGAGAUGAAGCGGCCUGCUACAAAAGCACCUUGAGUAUCAGAGAUGAUAGAGUCCAUAAUUGGCUUCAUUCUCUCAGAUAGUAAUUUGGACACUAUCUUGUACUGCACAUAACAGAGGCUUAUGGGUCUCAUAUCUUUCAUGGUUUCCGGCUUAGUUAUCUUCGGCAUAAGGCACAGCUGCGUGUGGUUCCAACCAGCAGGUAGAACAGAUGUCUGAAAAAAACUGUGCACCUCCUCAAUGACUUUAGGCCCCACAAUAUGCCAAUAAUUGCGAUAGAAGACACCAGUCAGCCCAUCUUCUCCAGGAGCACUACUUCCCUUGACCGAGAAAGCUGCUGCUCUAAUCUCUUCAUCUGUGAUCUCCCUGAGCAGAGCCUCAUUCAUCGCAGGAGUCACACGACUCUGGAAGCCAUCAAAAAGAGUCUCAAGGUCAGAAGGAUUUGAGCUCAUAAAGAGUUCUCUAAAGUACUCCACUGCUAGAUGUCCUUUGGCUCCUUCAGAGAAAUAUUCAUUGCCCCUCUCAUCUUUCAACAUCAAUAUGUUGUUUCAGAUUUUUUUUCUUUAACAACAUUAUGAAAGUAAGAUGUGUUUCUAUCACCUUCCUUAAGCCAUUGUUCUCGACUUCGUUGCCUCCAAUACUUCUCCUCUUCUUUGUAUGCUUCAGCCAGUUCAAAUCUUAACUACUUCAUCUUUCGCGCACUCGAUAAAACCUUAGCGAUUUCUUUCUCCAAGUCAUGUUGAAGCCGUUGAAUCUUAGUCUUAGAGUUAAAAUGAGCACUCUUCUUCCAUCGAGAGAGUUCUCUCCUACAUCUCGACAAUCUAUCCAUUAUAGAAGACAAAGAUUCAGAGGUUCCAUCUCCCCAACCUCUUACAAUAGCUUCUUCAGUGCCCACUUUACCUACCAUCCUUUUAUCGAAGUAGAACCGACCAUGACCUAUGUCUUCUGGUUCCAGCGAGAAAGAUAACAAGAUCGGCCUAUGAUCAGAUCAGACGGCCACAUCUCCAGAUACUCCAAAUUAGCUCUAGGGAAAAGCUGAAACCAUUCAUCAUUCCCAAAGCUCCGGUCGAGACGGCACUGAAUCCACACAUUGUCACGCCAUCCAGCCCAAGACAUUACAUUACCCAUCGAUCUUACUUCCUUGAUCUUGCAGUUUUCAACCAUGUUUCGGAAAUCCCAAAACAUUGACUCAUUCCUCACAGAUCCACCGAGCUUCUCUGAAUUGUCCAACAGCUCGUUGAAAUCACCAAUAAGUAUCCAAGCAUUGUUUCUAGACAGACCAAUGCUCUCAAGUUUUUCCCAUACUAUGUGUAUGUGUUCCCGCAGAGGAUCUCCAUACACACAAGUCAAGAAAAAAAUAACUGAACUAAACUCCACACGAAGAUCAAUAAUCCUUUUAUCAGCAAAAAGAAUCUCAACCUUAAAGCAAUCCUUCUAAAACACUGCUAAACCGCCACUCAAACCAACCGACGCCACUGUAAACAUCUUAUCAUAACACAAAUCUUUUUGUAAACCAAGCAUGUAGGUAUCUCGUUGCUUAGUUUCCGUGAGAAACAAGAAAUCCGGAAAAUACUUUUUACGCAUCUCCGUUAAACGACGAACUGUCUCGGUGUUUCCCGCCCCUCGACAGUUCCAACUCAAUAUGCUCAUUGGGAUGGCAGCAGCCUCAAAUUGGAGGCCACCGUAUCUUCUUUGGUUUUUGAUGUCUUGUUCCCCUGUUCCAACUGAACCUCUUCUGCUUUUCUUUUAAAAGAAGCCACAUCUCCCCCCCCCCCAACGGUUCCAGCGCCGUUGAUGAAUUGUGAUUCACAUUUCUCACUGUUCUGAGGUGUCUGACCCAAGCCGGGGGACGUUUCCUAUCCUUCUUCCUAUUCCUCGAGAUCCUGGUGUGAGAGGAACCUAUGGCUCCUAUAGAAAAAAACCAUUGAAUCUUUAGGAAAGGAAGAGGGACCUGUGCUUUCACCAGAGGAGUACCUCCGAAGUUAAUUGUAUACGGUCCCCAGUAGGAGCUGACUUGGUAUGAGUAAAAGGUUUCUCAACCACAGUGCCAGAGCUUGAAGCUCCAUAACCAAAAACAUGACCUUUCUCUUUGUUAAUAUCGUGGGAUAUUUUUGUCAGUACAGCAGGCGGGUUGGAUUUUUCUGACUCAAUAGAUUGUUGAACACGAAGGAUCCGAGCCUGGCGUUCUGUUUCAUUGGAGUGAGAUACAUACUGGAUCGCCAUCACUCUUUCUUCUGGAGGUAGCUCAGGAAACAACGGAGGAAAGCCUGGUGGACCGUCCAAACGGUUUAAAGUAGGAACUACCCCUGUAGGAGCAUUAGGUAUCUUCUCAAGCAUCUUCUGUGGCUGUUUCUGGAGCUUCUGUUUAGAGUACGGACACAUUGACUUCUCAUGAGUCAACCGACGGCAGCCAAAGCAUCGUUUGUGGAUUUUUUUUAUAAUCAUAUUCGAUCACCACAACUUCCCCUGAGGGGAGGUUCAAAUUCUUCGCCUCAAAAGCAGGGUUAUCAGCGGAGAACAAGACUUUAGCGCGGAUAUACUCUGUUUUCUGAGAGCUCUUUGGGUCAUAUGCGAUCACCACUACCUCACCCACCUUUAGAAAAUGAAUGUUUUAUUGAUGAUUUAACAAGGAUUACAGCUGAUGCUUGACAACAAUGGAGUGUGGGUACAAAGAUAGUAUAGUUUAGCUAUGGAAGAAUUCGGAUUCUCCUUCUUCUUUUAUAGGUCUUCCCAGCGGAUCAUAACAGUAUUGUGAUCUUUAGAGUGAUCUCUAGCAUGGAUCAGGUGAUUUUAUGAUGGCUUUUAAUGCAUUUGACUCCUUUAUGUUUUGAGUUGACUUUCUGAGCUUGGUAUGUUUGGCUCUUCAAGCCCCGGGUGGGCCUUGACCUUUGUGAGCCUAUGUUUCCUCCUUGGACGUUGAUGGUACUCGAUUUUGGGCUUUGAUGCAUUCGAGUUGAGAUCUCGGUCCGGGUUUUUAGAGGGAUGAAACCCGGCUCCAACAAUAGCUCCCCCUGGAGUCCGAUGUGUAUCAGGUUGUCAGGCGUGUUGAGUAUUGAAUCCGAUUUGAAUUGGUGUUUGAGACCGUUGGUCUGUUUAUUCCGAUGCCCAGUUCGAGAUUCUGGUUUAACAUAUUAUUAUCGGAUUUGAUUGAGGGAUUUUGAAUGAAGUAAAUCAAGGGAUUUAACUUUAUAGUGCUGCUCCAAACAUUAUAGAGCUCGAUGUACCAUUACAUCCACCUAACCUGCACACUGAAUCAAAAUAGAGAACACAUUUCGUAAAUCAGCUGGUAUCUGAGAUAGAGUUUCGUCCAGAUCGAUCUUUGGUGCUGCCGGAGCCGCGUGGUGAUGAAUUUUCCUUAUGCGUUGAGCUGCUGCACUGCAUUAUGCGGGAUGGAACCUGAGAGGUUUCCUUCUCCUGCCAAACCAAAUGCAUCUACUCCAAUCACUGUGAUGUUUGUUUCACGUAAGAUCUUCAAAAGGUUAAUUAUUUUGUGUUAAUUUAUCCUCCUUCUAGUGCUAAAUAAAUGAUCACAAGAUUCACUAAUAAAUUAGGAUGAGGGUUUAAUCUAAAUAUGGAGUGUAAUGAGUAAAUCAACUAUUUGUGAAUGAUUUCAAGGUAUAAUAGUAUUUCUUAUUGAUAAUGAAUAUUAAUACAUCAAUGAUAAAGAGAGAGUCUUUGAGUACAAAUGGAUUUGGGUUUAAAAUAGGUAUAUUUUUGAUGUCUGAAGCUUGGGUCCUCCACCCUUUUCCUUCGUUUGUGUCCUUUCUUAUGUCUUGCCUGGGUGAGAAUCGUAACGCCGAGCAUAUAUAAUGCCCUCCGUUAAUGAUCUAAUCUUCUUUACAUUUUGUGUUGACUAGGUCAAGUCGGUAUUGACUCUCAUCCGAUUUCGGACGAGCCUUAGUUCUUACUUGCUUUCUUGUCUUCUUAGUGUACCUUUGAGCUAUUAGACUGGGUCCUUUAACCGGAUUUGGAAUGGAGUGAAAUCCAUCUCCAAUAGAACUGUCUUUUUCUAUAAUAUAAUCUCUUUGGAGCAUCUUAUUUUAGAAAGGUAACAAGUCAUGACUUUUGGUUAAAUCUUAUGACUUACGAGAGCUCAUAUAUGGCUUCCAACUCAAACAUGCCGAUCUAAACGUGUGUUUGACCAAACAAAUCGCAAGAGUAUUACUUUUAAUUUUCUCAAACAAAUAUCCGAACACAAUAGAAAUAUUUAUAAAGAUUUCCCACGUCAAAUAGUCAUUUUUACUUCUUUUUUUUAAAAAAGCCUUUGUAUUGAAUUUUUUGGGAUGUUUGUUUUUAAAAUACAAGGGAUAGAUGGAAAAGAAUAAAUCUUUGACCAAACAAAAAAGAUGGAACUGCCAAGGAGAGACAAAUGAAUAGAACCACCACUAUCCACUGAUUAACCCAUCGGAGCCACCCAUCAAGGAGACCACCACAUUGACUGCAGUCAUUGCCUUACCAGAACGCCAACGAAACACGAGCCAACGGAAGGAGAAACUUUGGGUGGAGAGCAAAAGAGAAAAGCACAGCAAACCAGAAAAAAUCCACACCUAGUGAAACAGUUGGCCAACCAGCUGAAAGAAACGCGAUAAGAAAGAAGAGGAGUGUGGGCGAAGUGGAGCAAACAGAUAUAACAUGUUUCACUAGUUCGGAGACGGUGUGUGGAUAGGCCAAAACCACUACCCCACAACCGACUCGCCUUCACCUCCACCAGUAGCCUCAAACCCGAGCUUAUCCCACGGUUUUGAGAGCAGGCAUGCAAACCAAGGGAGAAGACCAAUGGUUUAAAUAUAAAAAACCACCACCGCGUCACGCCUUUACCCUAAGGAAGCCAGAAUUACCACACCGCUUGAAAGAGAACCUCAAAACUACCGUGAGUCAAGAGGAGAAAACCAAGGAGGAAUUUGAGUAUCUCACCCCAUAUCUUACCCCAUAGAUAUGGAUUGUGAAUCCAGAUCCUCAGCCCAGCCAAUGGACCGCCGCACAACCCAAUCUCACUUGAGAUCUAGAUCUCUCACUGCCAUUGACAAGAAGGACAAGUAAGAAUGAAGAUCAGCCUAUAAGGUUAAGAAGAAACUAAAAAGGAAAGGGAAAAUAGAGACCUCUCACAAUAACAGCGGUGAGAGGGGGAAGCAAGACGGCGAUUUUAAAUUUAAAGAGAGAAGGGAAAGCUAGAGAAACAUUUAAAAAAUUAUAACCCGUAAUUUGUAUUAAUUAAAAAAGUUUCAUGCUGAGUUGUCAUGUAAUUGAAAUGUUAAUUUUAAUUACGUGGCGGCUUAAAAAUCAAUUGAGAAUUUUGUUAGUCCAAAAUUAUAUUGCUAGAAAAGUUAUAUUAUACGGUAUAUCUAUUAUCGACCAUUCAUUUAUCAAAUUAAAAUUAUUAUAUAUUCUUUCCUUAAAUAAAACCUAUGGAAUUAUCUAAUGUGAUUAAGAUAUAUAUAUAUAUAUAUAUAUAUAUAUGACAAUUAAUGAUUUUAAAUAAUAACGAUUUGCUAACAAUCUGUAUACUUUCUAUCAUUUUUUUAUAAUUAUUUAUUAUUAAAAUAAAUUACACAACUACACUAAUCAUAUAACAAAAAAUUAGAUUUUUUUGUAUAUGUUGUAUUUUGAAUUUUUCAAAACGAGUAUAAAUUACUAAAACUAUCAAAAGUCUCACAUAAACUUUUGUGAUCAAGGUUUAAAUUGUUUUCUAUAAUAAGAUACAAUGAUUAUAAAAUCAUAUGAAUAAAUAUUUUUAUUUUAAUAGGUGUUUAGGUUAAUAUAUAUAUAUAUAUAUAUAUCAUAUCAUUUAAAUUAAACUAUACAUCAUAUAAAAAUACAUACUCAUAUUUUGAUAUAUGCGUUGAACAUAUAUUGAAAAGUUAAUAUUUUAAUUUUGAAAUCUUUAUUGUUUUUUUAAAAUGAGUAUAAAUUAUUGAAACCACAAAACAUUCCACAUUCAAAAAAUCGUUGGUGUAAAAUUUUGUUACACAAAUAUGCAAAUAAUCAUAAAAUCAUAUGAGUAGAAACUUCAUUUGAUAAAUAUCCAUAUUAAAAGUAUACUAUAUAUCUAUGUUAAUAUCAUUUAAAUUUAAUUAUAUAUAUCAUAUACGAUAGAUAAGAUUGAUUGUUUUGAUUUAUUUACCCUAAAAUGAUUACAAAUAAACAAUAGUGGUUGUUUGAUUUAUAUGCGCACGCCAAUUUAUUACAUAAUAGUAACUAAUUUCUUAGUUAUUUAAUAUAUAAUUAUUAUUUUAUUAUUUCAUAAUAUGCAGAAAAAUAUAAAAUAAGUAAUAAAUAUAAAAUAUUUAUUUUGUACAAACGCAGAUCUUAACCUAAGUAUGUAACUCUUUAAUAAUUUUAAUCUUAAAUAUUUUUUAAAUCAAAGGUCAAAACAAAACAACAAAAUGAUAAUAAACUCAAAAACAAAUAUGUAUAUCGAGCAAUAACCAAAAUGAAAAAAGCGACACAAAAACGAGAAAAUAUUGAAGAUAGAUAGGAUUGGCACGUGAACGUAAAUUUUUCAUAACCAUAAUUAACUUUAAAUUGCUAAAUCAUGAUGUAAAACCGAGCUGACAUAGUUUCAUUGUAACCAAAUAGUAGGCUUGAGAUUCUUCGGCCUAAACGUUAGGUUCUUAUGCAAUAAGUGAUUUUUUUGACCUAAAAUAUUUUAAAAAUGGGAUUAGCUCAUCAGUAAACAAAUUAUGUAAUUAAAAAAAAUUUAAGAAAUUGUUUAAGGGCCAAAAAUAUUAAUCCGAUCAAGAAUAUAAAUUUUAUUUUUUCAUACAAUAUUUUUUAAAUAAUUUUCAUAUAAAUUCAUCAUACGCCUUGCGCAGGUCUUAUCCUAGUACAAAAUAUUUUGGAAGAUACGCGAUAAAGUAGCUAUAGUUACGAGAUUCCAACUUUCACAUUCAUCUCAUUAGCUCUUUGCGGAAAGUGAACAAAAUGAAAAAUAAAUUUUAAUUUGAGGAACUCACAAAAUAAGAAAAUAAGAUUUUUUUUUUCAUUAUGUUCCUCAUUUGAAUUGCAAAGCGAACCUUUUCUUUAUAAAUCCCUUUCUCCAUGAGGAAUUUAGAGAAAAAGAGGAGGACCUAACUAUCAGUAAUUUGACUAAAAAUUCAAUUUAAUUUGUAUAAAUUUUGAAGAACAAACACUUUCAGUUAAAUUUUGUAUUUUAUUAUAUAUUUAAUAUAUUUUUAUUUCAAUUAUUUUUCUGAUAUUUUAAGACGGAUUUUCGAGAACAACUAGAUGGUUAACUGAUUUAUUGUUGGAAAAAUUAGUUGCGUUGUCAUGCUUAAGUGAUUCAUCGUUAUAUUCCUGUCACAAGAACACUAUCAUGAUAAGAAUAGUUAUGUGAUUGUUUUUGUACGGAUGUAUUAAAUGCCUUGUUGGCUCCAGUCCCUGAUUAUUUGCACUUUGCAAACAUAUACUUCAUCUAAAACUAAAAUUUAAAAUUAUGAGAAAAAGAAUCUAAAGCCUUGUACAGUUUAAAAUAUAAAUAAAAUUGAUAAAAGCAUAGGAACAGGCUGGUCUCUAUAAGAGAAAUGGAGAGAAAGCAUUUGAGGAAGGUCCAGUGAUGUGUUGCGUUUUUAAUACUUUAAAACUCAUUUUAGAGCAAAUAAUUAUCGGUUUUUGAAGGUAUUUUAGUCUUCUCGGCGCCUUUAUUGUUCUUCAAUAUAUUUUAUAGAUUAGCUUGUGGGAAAAGAACGCAUUUAUAGAGGAUUUUGGGGCGAAAUGGACCACUGUUUAAACUAUGUUGUAACUGCGACAUAGAGCGCCCGCUCCGUGUGAUCUGGAGCAUCUGUUCCCUGCCUUGGAGCGCCCGCUCCGUAUAUCUUGUCCAGAUCCUUGCCACAGCAGGGCAACUUUCCAAUUUUGCAAAAAGACGUGUUUUGAAGAUCCCAAAACCUAAAGACUUGAUUAUAUUAGGUAUCUUUUCAAUACUCAUUUGGAAUACUGUUAGACUAAGGAUAUAUGAUUAAGGGGUUCUCAUAGGAGACUUCUCGAUGUCUUGAUCUAGAAUACUGUUAGACUAAGGAUAUAUGAUUUUGGAUCUUUGUCUACUGAUGUUCUUAAGGCUGAGACUUAUCUGAUCACCUAGCCUCUGAUUCUAGAAAUUUCAUCGCACCGAAAUGUUGUUUGAAUUCCCGAAAUAUCAGUAGAUGAGCAAGGUUUCUAUAACCAAAUGUUUCUGCACCUUGUGAACUUAUCAAACCUGAACCAAAAGCUUGUUUUAAAUCUGAGAUACAAUGGACGCUACUAUUUAGGAUUUGGAGCAUAGGAUGUUAGCACUACGGAAGUAGGUUAAUUCUAAUAUUGUAAUUUGAGUUUGAGACAUUGAUGUACAUGUUUCCCUGUCUUUAUGUUGCAUGAUCAUUACUGAAGAGAGACCCCUGAGAAUUCCCAUUUUCCAAUGCUUGUCUUACUUGUUUACAAACUCGUUUUAAUUGCCUCUUGUUCACUUGUUCUCUGUUUUUAUUGAAUUAAGAAACUGAAAAACCGAACAAACAAUCUCUUUUAUUCGCUUUAGCUAGUAACUUGUGUGGUGCUUUACGUGUGGUCAUCGAUCCUUGUGGAUUUGAUCCCGUAUUACUAAUGUUUACUUCACUCUGCAUUUGCAGACUGUUCCCUUUCUCCUUGAAGGUACAUUGAAGUGGAGACUGUUCCCUUUCUCCUUGACUGAAAAGGCAGUCAGAUGGUUGAAGUCUUUAGCAUCGGGUUCUCUUAGUACUUGGGAGGAGACAAAAGAUGCUUUGCUGGGACACUUCUUCACUAAGUCCAAGUCCACAUAUCUGAGGAGUAAGAUUGGAAAAUUUCAGCAGCUUGGUUCUGAUAGCUUUCAUGAGGCUUGAGAGCGCUUCAAGGAGUAUACACUAGACUCUUCUCACCAUGGUUACACUGAUGUGAACCUGAUGAACAUAUUCUACAAUGGGGUCAAUGAGAAUCAUCAGAACUCCAUGGUCUUUGCUAGUAAUAGCGAUUUCAUGACCAAGACAGUAGAUGAAGCUUAAAUCGUGAUAGACAAUCUAUCAAAAAGUCAAGCAAAUCACAGGUCCGAGUUUGAUAGGCUCAAAAAAAAAUUUGGGUCAGAUUCCCAGAAGAUUGAAGAGCUGAGUGCCAAGAUUGAGAUGCUUAUGAAGAGGGAUCAGAAGUCGGUUCAUUUUGUGGGAGAUCAGAGUAAUCAGGUUAACCAGGAGCUUGCUGCUAAUGAUUCAGAUGAUCAGGCUGAUAUGAACCUCAUUGGUGGUCAAGGGAACAACAACAAAGGGUUCAAUCAGAAUUUCAGUCAGAACCAGCAAAAUCUGCUAUCUUGUUACUUACUUAUCUUAUUUGACACAUACAGAUGGAAGAGAGACCAAUUUGUGAGAGGAAUGGAUGAAUACAUAUCCAAUUUAUAUCAUCUUGAUCAUUAUCAUUAUUGAUGGUGAUCUUUUUCCAGUAAUGGUGUCUUGAUCGUAAUUUGGUGGUUCCAGUAACGUUUAUCGAUAUGCUUUGACUGAAACUUUAUUGGCAUCCUUCCAGUAGCAACCUUUUCUAUUGGCUCUCCUUUGUCAUCAUAUAUUAGUAGCAACCUUUUCUAUUGGCUCUCCUUUGUCAUCAUAUAUUAGAUUGCUUUUGGUUGUUUUUCUUGUCUUACAAAAGUAAAAAUUCUAGCACUAUGGCUUGUGAAGGUCUGCUGUGUUUCUCCAGUUUUAUGUUCUAAUAUUCAUAGUUAGUUUUGGGAUAGAGUCCGGUGGUCGUCGUAAAUGCUAAGUAAACCACUAUCGCUUUGUUCAAAUAUUGAUUAUUUUUUUGUCAAAAGGACGUCCUCAAGAAAAACCACCAUGGAACCAAUAUUUAGGGAAGAUUUACAAGUAGAUAUCAAACUGAAGAAAUUCAAAUUCAUCAUUUGCGAAAAAGACAUUGUAACAGAUUGAUUGUUAUCAACUUGUCUACUUUUUAAAAGUAUUGAUGGAAUCAAUGGUUUUGUAAUGCAAUGUGCAAUUAGAAGUCUCAACAAAGAAAAGAACACAAAGCACAACUUUUUUUUUUUUUUUUUUUUGAUGACCAUGGUAUCCGAAUGCCCCGAGGGGAUCCGACUAGCACCUAAAGACCGUCCGAGUAAAUCUGAGCCACUAAGGGCCCGCCGGAGCCCGCCGAAGGCAUCCACGGGAGCUGGGUAUCCUCAUGUAAUAAGCCCAGUGGCCACUCGCAGUUGGAAGUGUCCGUAUUAGGCCCAAAGGUCUCUCAAGAGCAACAUCCGCCAGAGUUGGCCCUCGAACCCGAGACCUCCCGAAGGAAGGGAAGGGAGCGAGAUUGUUCAACCACCACUGGACCACUAACGCGUGGUUCACAAAGCACAACUUUUGCAUAAGGCUUUGAUAAAAAAGCAUCGAUAAUUUAGUUAUUUGUUUAAAUUGUCUUUAACAUAUGGCAUAUAUAAUAUGUGCAUGUGUAAAAAUUUGAUUCAUCAGUAGUUUUUGUAAUAACUUUGUAAUUUUUAUUUAAUAAAAGUGAGUUUAUCCAGCAAAAAAAAAAAGAAAAAAACCUUAUGAUUGAAUUAAUUUAACAUUAAUUGAAUAUUUUUAAUACUUUUAGUUCUUUUAAAUAUUAUGGACCUGCUUGGCAAUAAAAGGAUAAAAUUCAAACCUAAAAGUACAGCUCCUACCUACAACUCUCGCUCCUCGAAAAUAAUUCACGCAAUCUUGAAAAUGAAAGCUAUUAUACCACAAACACUCCUGACAAGCUUUUCGCGAUAAGUCUUUCGCACACUGCACCAUUCCAUAUACCAUAUCACCACCCUUGUACCGCUUCUCCCCCACAGAGUACAAUGUAGAAUUAUCUCCAGUGAUGGCUAAUUCCGUCAGAUCGUCAACGAGAAUAUUCCAAACUUUUAUAUAUUCAGAUCUAUCUUCUACCACCUUCUUCGCGUUGGACAUACAAAAGUUAUUGUCAUAAUCGAUCUGCCCAACAGAAUAUUUGGAAUCCAUCGAGAGAAGACAUUGGUCAUACCAUAUUAUCCUCCCCUUGUACCAUGGACAUCUCCUACGAAGCUGUAAUAUACAUUUUAAAUAUCUACGCCACAAUCAAUAACGAGAUUGCACGAGACUAAUAACAUAAAACACGUAGUCUUUUUUAUCUUAUGCUAAAACGUAAUCAAAAGCGUAUGUGCGCAGCUUUAUACAAAUUAAAAACAAAUAACCAAUCAAUAAUAUUUGAUGUGACAUUACCGCAGCGAGGGCGGUGACAAAGCAGUCGCGGCACUUGGUCCCGUAGGAGUCGCCGCGGCACUGGAGGACAGCGGUAAAAGUAGAAUCGCCAAAAAGGUCGUAACCUCUGAUACUGUUUAUAUAGAACAUUUUCAUGAUAUGUUUUAUAAGUUUCUCGUACUCACUUCCCGUCUUGUAUUUUCCUUGACUAACCAAACAUGUGUGGUUGAGAUAGUCAUUG
rnacentral:lncRNA from 1 species